rnacentral:lncRNA from 1 species
GAGGAAAGCGGCGGCGGUGGCGGCUUCAACAGCAGCUCUUGCCCUUAAGGAACAAUGAAACACAAAGAUGGUGCAGACCCAGGCCCUGCUUUGACUGGGAGAAAGAUGCAUUCAGUUGACUAAAACUUGAACAGGGCAGUUUACUUCUAUAGAAGGGUGCACCCUCACAGAUGGACCAAUGUGUCAGGAGAAUUCAGUCACACCCAAAGCAGGAGGUAAUAAGACACCGAAGUGAGGACUUCACAGGCUGCUUGGGAGAAGACAAUCAUCCGUGGGCUUGGGAAAGGGAGAAAUGCCUACUGAGUUUAGGGAAUUGCUUGCUGGAAGAAAUGAUGGCUUGGUGGCAUGCAUGUUUAGUCCCAGCUACACAGCAGGGAGGCUGAGGCUGAAGGAAUACUUGAGCCCAGGAAUUCAAGACUAGCCUGCACAACAUAGUGAGACCCUGACUUUAAAAUAAAUUUAAAAAAAUUAAAAGCAACAAGACUUUCUGCUUGUAUAUGAUGAUGUUAGUAUGCUGACUUACAAGGUUAGAUCAUUUUGAUAUGUGUGAUGUAGGUUUUCAAAGCUGGCACUGUUUUAUGCUUCAAAUAUUAUUUUUAUUCAUUGGUUCUCAUGGGAUUUCAUCACUAAGCUGUAAAUCAAUAAUCAUAAUGUUGAGGGGAGGGGAUUACAAAAUAGCUCUUCAAAAUCAUCUUUGCAUUUCUCAAUAAACAGCAUUCCCUUUUGGACUACAGUGAAAAAUAUUGAGCUUUGUUUACUUUGAAAAUGAGUCUUAGUCUAUGAAUGCCUGGGUAGGGUCAAGAAUGAAAAAUGAGAGGAAGAGAGAAGCAUCAGGAAGAUAAAAUGAUCAAUCUCACAAA